GGUUUCUCAAUGUUGGUCAGGCUGGUCUCAAACUCCUGACCUCAGGUGAUCCGCCCGCCUCGACCUCCCAAAGUGCUGGGAUUACAGGCGUGAGCCACCGCGCCCGGUCUGGCUUCACUUCUUUAAGCAGUCACCCUGUGCUAGACAACUGACAUUCCGCGUUGUGUUUAUUGUUUAUUGCCUGUCCCCUCUGUGUCAGCUUCCUGAGGCAGUGACUUUGCUCAUCCUUGUCCCUGCUGUAUCGCCGGUGCCCAACUCGGUAUCUAGCACACGUGUGGGACUUGCUCGAGGACUCACUGCUGGCCUUGGGGAGCAGAGAACCCAGGUCUCUGUGAUUCCGAAGUCCAGGUUCUUCCACCUGCAACUGCAGUUUCCAGAAUUGGUCCCACCCCAGGAGGAUCAGCCAGUGGGGCUGUCUUCUUGUGCUUCUGCUAUGAGAAGAUCGUCCCCCUGAAUGGCUGCCGGCCCUUCAGCCUCGCCCCGCCAAGCGACACAUGGAACAGCCAGAGCCCAGCCUAGAGCCUGUAUCCCAGCCUAGCCUGAGGCAGAGCUGCCCAGCGAAGACCAACUGACCUUCAGCUAACCUGCAGAUGCAUCGGGGGAAUUAAAUGAUUGUUCUAAGCCACUGAGUUUUGGGGUGGUUUGUUAUGUGGCAUUAUUGCAGUGGUAGCUAAUACAAGCCCGGUAUCACUCUACAACUCUUGGACUCUGAGCUGCAU